rnacentral:rRNA from 1 species
AGUGAACGCUGGCGGUAGGCCUAACACAUGCAAGUCGAACGGCAGCACAGUAAGAGCUUGCUCUUACGGGUGGCGAGUGGCGGACGGGUGAGGAAUACGUCGGAAUCUACUUUUUCGUGGGGGAUAACGUAGGGAAACUUACGCUAAUACCGCAUACGACCUACGGGUGAAAGCAGGGGAUCUUCGGACCUUGCGUGAUUGAAUGAGCCGAUGUCGGAUUAGCUAGUUGGCGGGGUAAAGGCCCACCAAGGCGACGAUCCGUAGCUGGUCUGAGAGGAUGAUCAGCCACACUGGAACUGAGACACGGUCCAGACUCCUACGGGAGGCAGCAGUGGGGAAUAUUGGACAAUGGGCGCAAGCCUGAUCCAGCCAUACCGCGUGAGUGAAGAAGGCCUUCGGGUUGUAAAGCCCUUUUGUUGGGAAAGAAAAGCAGCAGGUUAAUACCCCGCUGUUCUGACGGUACCCAAAGAAUAAGCACCGGCUAACUUCGUG